AUUGAACGCUGGCGGCAGGCUUAACACAUGCAAGUCGAGCGAGCGGCGGACGGGUGAGUAAUGUCUGGGAAACUGCCUGAUGGAGGGGGAUAACUACUGGAAACGGUAGCUAAUACCGCAUACCAUCAGAUGUGCCCAGAUGGGAUUAGCUAGUAGGUGGGGUAAUGGCUCACCUAGGCGACGAUCCCUAGCUGGUCUGAGAGGAUGACCAGCAACAGUGGGACUGAGAAACAGUCCAGACUCCUACGUGAGGCAGCAGGGGGGAAUAUUGCACAAUGGUCGCAAGCCUGAUGCAGCCAUGCGGCGUGGAUGAAGAAGGCCUUCGGUUUGUAAAGCACUUUCAGCGAGGAGGCGUUACUCGCAGAAGAAGCACCGGCUAACUCUGUGCCAGCAGCCGCGGUAAUUC
rnacentral:rRNA from 1 species